rnacentral:rRNA from 1 species
AUUGAACGCUGGCGGCAGGCUUAACACAUGCAAGUCGAGCGGGGAAGGGUAGCUUGCUACCUGACCUAGCGGCGGACGGGUGAGUAAUGCUUAGGAAUCUGCCUAUUAGUGGGGGACAACAUUCCGAAAGGAAUGCUAAUACCGCAUACGCCCUACGGGGGAAAGCAGGGGAUCUUCGGACCUUGCGCUAAUAGAUGAGCCUAAGUCAGAUUAGCUAGUUGGUGGGGGAAAGGCCUACCAAGGCGACGAUCUGUAGCGGGUCUGGGAGGAUGAUCCGCCACACUGGGACAGAGACACGGCCCAGACUCCUACGGGAGGCAGCAGUGGGGAAUAUUGGACAAUGGGCGAAAGCCUGAUCCAGCCAUGCCGCGUGUGUGAAGAAGGCCUUUUGGUUGUAAAGCACUUUAAGCGAGGAGGAGGCUACCGAGAUUAAUACUCUUGGAUAGUGGACGUUACUCGCAGAAUAAGCACCGGCUAACUCUGUGCCAGCCGCCGCUGUAAAAC